GAAGCGCUCAGCCGCUGGCGGCGUGCUGGACUGGGAGCCGCUCCCUGCGCGCGCUGCCUCCACCGCUUCGGCGCAUUCCCGGGGCACCUACCGAUGGCCUCGGGCGCAGGGCUGGGGCUACUGCUCCUAACCACGCGGGCUCCAGCCGAAUUUAGCAGGGUCGGGAGAAGGGGGUCUGACCACUGGUCCGGAAUCCUGUCUUUAGGCACAGGGACAGGAAGCCGGCCAGUGCCCUCCAGGGACUAGAUGGGACAAGGGACGCGUAGCGGCCCAGCUUUAAACCAGCUGGCGCCGGCAGGAACUAGCCGACUUGCAGCUGGUGCUCAGAUGCGACUUCAUGAACGUCCCGAAGACACCGGGUGGAGAAGUGGAGGAGAGUUCUGAGUGGAGGAAUAAAGCGGGGAGAAGUGCAACGGCGGUUUAGGUGGUGGAUGCAGAACAGCCUAGGAGGGCAUGGUCAACAGGGUCCAGAAGACUCUUUGGACAUCAGUGAAGACCACCCAAAGAGGACAGAGGCCAUGCAUUCAGAGAUUUCUAUGGCAAGAAAGUGAAGCACCAUUACUUGCACUUGGCAGAGAGUCAAAUACAAAUGGAAACUCAGACAAUGGUGGUGGGAAAAGUUUCAGGAGUGCUCCAAUUGGCAGUAUCUGGCAGGGGAAGCUGCUGGUGGGGAUCUAGUGUGAUUGCUUAGAGAGGCUAUUUGGCUCUUUCAAGUCAGUCCAGGGUUGGAAAUAGGGGCAGCUGACAGUCGUUGAGGGAGUCCUGACGUUCUGCUGAGGCUGUGGUCUGGGUUCCUGGACUGGUUUCUGCAGAGGCAGUGGUCAGUUUUCGUGUCAUGUAUGGUCUGGCCAUUGUUCCUUGGUACAGUCAGUCUAUUCAUUAAUUAAUCAUGCUACACCUCUGCUACUCCUAAGCCCGGGGAUUGCAUAAAGUCACCCUGUAAGGGCUGGCCCAUAGCAUAGCGCAGGGCUUAGGCAUGGUGCAUUGAAAGCUGGACCCCACAUGGCCACCGUGGUUGAAUCUCAACCCUGGAAGCUUGAAAAACCGGCAGGUGCAUGUGUGUCUGUGCCUUAAAUCCUGCUGCAAUGGGAAAUGGAGGAACAGGAAUGCAGCAUGACCAAGUCCCACCUGGGGGUGGUGCUUUCUCCUCCCCUCACCUCAAGGGUACAUGCACCCUUCGGUAAUGAAAAAAACAAAGAAGUUACCUAGAAGUGCAAAGCAGCUUGACCACAAGCCAACAGCUGUGAUUCCCUCCCCACCCCCAAAUUUGCUAGAAGGCGCAUGUGCUCACCAGAGAGAGACAG